AGAUACCCUAGUAGUCCAUGCCGUAAACGAUGGGCACUAGGUGUGGGGAACAUUUCCACGUUUUCCGCGCCGUAGCUAACGCAUUAAGUGCCCCGCCUGGGGAGUACGGCCGCAAGGCUAAAACUCAAAGGAACUGACGGGGGCCCGCACAAGCGGCGGAGCAUGCGGAUUAAUUCGAUGCAACGCGAAGAACCUUACCAAGGCUUGACAUACACGAGACCGCCCACAGAGAUGUGGUUUCCCCUUUGGGGCUGGUGUACAGGUGGUGCAUGGUUGUCGUCAGCUCGUGUCGUGAGAUGUUGGGUUAAGUCCCGCAACGAGCGCAACCCUUAUUCUAUGUUGCCAGCACGUGAUGGUGGGGACUCAUGGGAGACUGCCGGGGUCAACUCGGAGGAAGGUGGGGACGACGUCAAAUCAUCAUGCCCCUUAUGUCUUGGGCUUCACGCAUGCUACAAUGGCCGGCACAAUGGGUUGCGAGAUCGUGAGGUUGAGCUAAUCCCAUAAAACCGGUCUCAGUUCGGAUUGGGGUCUGCAACUCGACCCCAUGAAGUCGGAGUCGCUAGUAAUCGCAGAUCAGCAACGCUGCGGUGAAUACGUUCCCGGGCCUUGUACACACCGCCCGUCAAGUCACGAAAGUUGGUAACACCCGAAGCCGAUGGCCCAACCCCUUGGGGAGGGAGUCGUCGAAGGUGGGACCGGUGAUUGGGACU
rnacentral:rRNA from 1 species